GGGGCUUACUAUUUUUAACAUUUUUAUUUCCUUUUUAAGAUAGCAUGAUCCUGAUUAGCGAAGCAAACUAUAAUUGAAUAAUUGAAAGGAAAAGGAUAACUACCAAGUUUACCUCUUGGCAAGGCGUUCGGUGUUUUUAAGUCUUCCGAACGGGACUCUCUGUUUUCUCAGUCGUCCUGGGAUUCGCUGGUUGGCGUAGUCGGUGGUUCCGGCGGCGCCUCCUCUUCGUGUAUAACUAUCUUCUCUCUCCACACCUGACUCGAUGCUACGAUCUCCUCAGGAUAGUCCUAUUCAAGCUGUAUGUCUUCAGACCUUACCACUUUUCCUUCGUAGUCUGCACAUCCGUUCUUGAUGAUUUGCCUCCUCUGGUUGCGGUUGCGUCGUCUUCUUCAGAGGGGAAGUGCAUGUGGACUUCUCCGGUUCCCAUAUAAAUGAUGGCUUUGAUAGUGUUGAGGAAUGGUCUUCCAAGGAUGGUGGGUGGAUCGUACUCGUCUUCUCCCAUGUCAAUGACGUGGAAAUCAUCUGGAGCUGAAUGUAUAUUGGUUGUAGGGGCAUAGUUCCAUGCAGGAGCUGAUAAGUGACUGCAGCCAUUAUGUUGUCGUCAGAUCCGAUGUCGUAGAGUGUCUUCUGAA
rnacentral:lncRNA from 1 species